UGUCUCAGCCUCCUGCUCUGCGCUGCCUCAGAACCAGCGGUGUUGACGGGAUGCUGUUUUGACGGAGCGAUUCUGGACAAUUGGACACAGACUUAAAAGGAGCCAGAUGGACAGGGAAUGUACGGGGGUCUAUCUGUGGGUCAUGUUGGGCUGAGAAGAGAUGAGGAAAUGGCAGCUCAUUUAUGAAGGAUGCUAUUAGCAGUGAAGGACCACAGACGACCGCAGGCUGGAACUGUAUUCAGAUGAAGGGGAGAAGGUUGGAAGGAGCCUCUGAAUUCAGCUGGAGAACUGUUGUCUCUGAAGAGUCUUGCUGAUACAAAGACACCGGAUAAAGAGUGACCACUACCACAUUUAGAUCCUCACUUUUUAUGCCCUUCCAGUGGCAAUCAGAAAAGCUGAGCUUCCUCUGAAACUGAAAAUUUAAACUGACACUAGGGCAAGGAGAUGCCCCUAGUGGCAGAGAGGCAGAAGAUUCAUUUUAAUCCGAUUAAAAUAAAUCAGAUAGAUCUGAAAAAACGUUCCUAACUGUGACACAACUUUUUAUUUCUGAAACAAUCAGACCAAUAUCAGGUAGAGGUCAGUGUUCCUCACCUGUUUUCGGUGAAAAUGUCUCUCCAUAGAGUCGAUGUAUUUCAGUCAUUACUGUUCAUCUGGACAGGGUCUGGUAGAACGUGUAGAGAGUUUCGUUCUCAACUUCAGUCUUUGUCCUCAAUGAUAUUAAUCAGUCUACAGUCAGACUGUCCUGAUCUCACUCUGACACAAGCUGGGCCACUGACCAGAGGUUGAAACACCCACAAACAUGUUACUACUGGAUCUUUAAGCCUGAGACGCCAAAAGAAGAAUAUGAAGAAGCAGGUCUUGUUGUUCUAAAUAUGUUAAAAAAUUCCAAAAUAUAUUUAGAUUUCACUAUUGUCUUUAAUGUUGUUUUAAUGUCUUGUUUGUUGUCAGAGGGUUUAAAACACACACAGCCACUGAUGUCAUUGAUUUUCCACACAGUCAUCAUGAGAGAGUUCAACCGACCGUCACCUGGGAACAACGUCCUCACGUGUUUGACAGCUACAAUCCCAGCACUGAACCUGGUUCAUGGCAUGGACAGGAAUGAGUGGAAUCACCUUGGAACUUAUUCAUGGCAGUGCUGUUGAUCAACAACUCUGGAUGCUACACAGGAAAAGGAAAGAGGCAGCCUCGUACUCAUGCACAGACUUUUCCACAAACAAAAGAGAAAAGGAUCCCAAAACAGACGCGUUUGAGGACGGAGCAGCCAAGGACACGGUGUAAGAAGCUGUGACACGGGCCUUCCGCCCUCCUGCUCAGCUGCAGGGAGGAGAGGGAGGAGGGGAAGAACGGGAGUUUUUUUUUUUUUUUAAAUCUUUUGAACAUUGCUAUUCGCUUCCUGCUUCUACAAAGGCCAUGAAAGAGAAUGGGUAAUUCAUUAAUGUGUGUGCGUGUGACUGUGCAGCUCCGACUGACCUACUUCCACCGCCCUCA